GGUCAUGGCUCAGUGGUAGAGUGCUUCCCUAGCAUGUGUGAGGCACUGGGUUCAAUUCUCAGCACCA
rnacentral:tRNA from 1 species